GGGGGUGACCUGGUUUCGACGGGGUAAGCGAGGGUUAACUUGCGCGCCGAGAUUGCGCCGGUCUCGUUAAACAGGCGUAAACCAAUUGAAUGGCAACAACUACGCCAUUGCUGCUUAACUAAACUAAGCAUGCCGUUUUGCACGAGGCCCGCCAUCAGACGUUGUGCAAAGCGCCGUUAAUUGAUGGAUAGCCUUACGACUCGGUCGGGCGGACGCGAGGCGAAAUUAACAGCACGACUGGCUGAUUGGUAGCUUUAGCCUUGCGGCGAUCUGAUCAGCGAGAUUAAAUGCAAAGGACACGCGCGUAGACGGUUAAUUGGCGUUCAUCUCGGACGGGGUUCGAUUCCCCCCACCUCCAAUU
rnacentral:tmRNA from 1 species